AAAAGCACACGCCCGGGUACGUUAUGAUAAGGGAGCGCAAGUCACGCCGGGGCUGUGCUGUGUGUGACACCCAGGCAGAGCAGAUUUGGGGAGAGGGAGGUUGGUCCCUGGCUGUGCAGGGCAAAGCACGGCACUGGGCAAAGCCGUAGACUCAUUUCACCGCGCGCCUGGGUGAAAUUUUGCCCCCGCGUAAGCCCGUGAGGAUAAACGCUGCGCCCCGAUCGAAUCGGUGGCAGGACUUGCAGUGGGGGAGCGAGCCGCCCCAGGACCCCAGGCCAGGGCUGCUGCGUCCCGGACCGUCCCCUGGAAGCGAUUUGAACCCCCUUCCUGCAAGCGAGCGAGCAAGCAAAGAGCUUUCCCUGGGGCUAACUGCGAGAGUGCACGUAGGGGAGGCUCUUCUUGGCUGAACAAGCUUCCUAAGCGCACUCGGGGGCCAGACACGCAGGGCAGCCGCAGUGCGAUCCAGCCACAGCCCAGGAGGAAGGAAUACCGGCGUGGCCCCCACCCGAAAAGACGAAGCCGCAGACUGAAACCAGGACAUGCUCAUCCUUAAGAUUUAUGCAUUUUGAAAACAACUUAGAAGGUGGCAAGAAGGCAGAGCCUGAAGAAUCAAAGCAAAAAGCAGAUCAGCAGGCAAUGAACGUCAGCAGCAAGAAGGAAUGUCAAAUCCUACCAAACCCAGUUACCCUGGAGAAACGUUGCAUUUCAUUAGCAGGACUCUUCAUCGCUGCAAACGCUGCCGCCUGCUUACGGUACCUAACAAUACCAGUACCAUAGUGAGGUAAGCUUUGACCUUGCCUUCCUUAAAACAUUUGAAUAUCACAGACAAAACCACUCCUUUCAUAUUUCUCUUUUUUUUUUUUUUUUAAAUUUCUUUCCUAUCCCCCAUCCCCAUAGAGAAUACUUCCAAGUACUGGGGAUGGACAGGUGGGUCUCAGUGGAAUAGCAGCCUCAUCCAAGGCUCUUUGCAGUCAACAGAAGGACUUCUACUGGUUUUAAUUGCCUCUGGAUCCAGCCCUGAAGUAGUAGCCAAGAAGCAAAGAGGUCUGCACUGUCAAAGGCCUUUUUCUGACUGGGGAACCAAAGCAGACAACUACUUGCCUUUCAUCAGCACACCGAACUGGGAAUCCCUGGAGUCAGGCGGUCUGACUGAUCCCAAAGGGGAGACAGCCAGGAACCCAAGGGACAGCAGCCUUGGUGGGCCAGCCUAAGCGUACAGUAAACAGCUCUGAGACGGAGACAGCUUCAGACAGAUAGCUGGGGAUAUGCAUAGGCUACCAAGUUCUCAUUUUGGCCUGGAUCAGCUUUAUUCAAUCUUCACUAAGGCAUCUAUUUCUACCUGUUUUUCUAAAGCCACCCAGUGCAUCCCUCUGCCUGGGUUAUGGGUGCUGGGACUGUACGUGCAGCCUUCCUCUGCUGCGGCAACAUUUGUCCUUCCCCCACAAUCUCUCGGGGUAGGACUGUUUUUAUUAGUUUUCCGAUAAUACCUGGCACUACAGAGAAAUACAGACUUGCUGUCGCAGUCUCAGAGCCUAAACCAUCAUCAUAUGAAUGAAGGACAGAAAAAGCAACGUGAAUCACUGAGUGACUGGAGAGUUCAGCGUGCCUAUCAUUUCAUCUUCAAGGAUGGCUUUGUUAUUGCAAAACAUGUGUAAGGAAUCAUGCAGCAGCUCAGUAAUGCUGCUGUCACAGCAAAUUCAUUUUCUGCAGAAGAGAGUAAGAGAACAGUAGAGUUAUAAACACUUGCAACCAAAUCUGCCCCUGGUUAUCACUUCUGCCUUAGCAAGAGCUGACAUCCUGCCUGCUAAGAAUGUUACCAGAACAACGUCGUGGAGAAUACUGCUGUUGAACAGUCUAUUUUCAGCCAGCUUUGUGGGCAAGGUAUUUUGUAAACAACGUGUUGGGGCUUUGACAGAAUUAAAUACAAAUAACCUGAACUUUCCACUGACAGCAAUUCUAAGAUUAAAACUCCCGAGCGCCGGCUCCCUGACACAGGCGUUGGCCAGGUAGCCCUCCCGCUUCCCACCAAGUCCAGAGCCCCUUUGCCGCUACCCACGUCCCUGCGUGCAGCCGAGGAGCCCCGCAAAGCCGUCAAUGCCACCAGCUUCCAGCUAAGGGGAUACAGCAAUGGUGUCCUAACCCAGGCCUGAAUUCAUGUUGAUAGUAACAGAGCUUGGAGCUUAGCCAGCUAAUAUUCUAAUUAUUUUUCGCCAAGCUUCCAAUUCUUCAUUGUUAGAUCAAAAGGCCCUCAAAGAUUAAGAUACCAGCGUUUCUGCCUAUUCGAUAAGGAGGUGGGAAGCACAGACUGCCCUUUUGCAGGCACUAAGAGCUACGCAACCAUUGCAUUAGCAGCUAGAACUUUUGAUACCCAAAAGCGAUAAGUACUUGACAAAGCAGAUUACUGUUAAGAUUAUAAUACUUUCCGGGAAAAACCAACCAACCAAAAAAUCCCCAAACCCACCUGCUCAUUUUCCACAAAUCAAAGUCAAAUAAUUACUGUCCCAGUGCCGCAAAGCUCAAAUGACUCACCCGACUGAACCAGGAUAGGGUGCUGUGAGAUAUAAUUGUUUUACCUUAUCUGUGCUCAUUUCCUAACUUGGAAAGAAUGAGAAGCCCACGACAAGUUAAUUCAACAUUAUUCAUAAAUUGUAUCAGGAUACAGUUGGAUAUUACGGUAAACUCCAAAUUUCACAGAGAUCGUUGCAAGGAGCAGAUCUGCUCCGAGAGAAGUGGAUUCAGCCUCAGGUUUUAAGUGAAGCGAUGGGCAAUACUCCCUGUGAAUAUCUCCCUCGUUCUGGAGAACAUGGUGAGAUUUCCUCUCGGUAUUCGAGAGCAUGUAUGGAGAUCUGUGUUCAUACCAUAAGGCAUUCAGAGGAGAAAACACACUCUCUGCAUCCUGGUGACAGUCUCUGCAUGUUUUCUAAAGCAUUAUUUUAAUAAAAAGGUCAGGUCUAUCACACGGCGUACAGUUCCGCAGUGUUUAAAUACAUGUUCUU